AGUGGCCUAUGUGCUGCUUUGCCAACUGGCAGAGGGGAGGGCCUCACGUUAAUGGCAUGUGAGACCCCCUUAGAGGCUGGGAGAGAGGGCCUCAGGUUGGCUGUGCCAAGUCUCCUCCUAGGCACAUAAAACAACCUUAGUAAUCAGUCUUUAAUCCAGCGUUCCGUAGCGAAUGCCUUACAACCAGGCCUUCAGAGAUACUUAUGUUGACACUGCAAGACACAGCCUUUCAGAGGUGGGAGCUUCAGCAUAGCCGUGAGCUUGUUUUCAAUAUGGCUUCACAGACUGCCUCUGUAUUAGCCACCUGAAUGGCCCCACGAGUCCCAUGAUUGACCUUAAACACUAGCCUCCCACAGGGCCUUACAUGGCAGCACGAAGCCACUUCCCAUGGUGAGGUCGUGGCAUGCUGGCCACCUUCGGUCUGAGCAGUCUUGGUGCCACAGGCCUUCCAGAACCUUUCCUGAGGUGGCCUUUUCAAGAGCUGCCAUUAACAAACACCCUCUGAAGGAGGAGCCACGUCACAUUAUACGAAAGUCUUCCUGACCUGUUUUAAAAAUUGGCUUUCUGGGGUUUCCGUUGUGAGGCAACAGAAUGGGUAGUGUGUCUGCAGUGCCAGGAUGCAGGUUUGAUCCCCAGCCAGGCCCAGUGGGUUGAAGGAUCCAUUGUUGCCUCAGCUGCACCAGAGGUCGAAACUGCAGCUUGGAUCCGAUCCCUGACCCCCGGAAUGCCACAUGCUGUGGGGCAGCCAAAAAGAAAACAAACAAACAAACAAAGCUGGCUCGCUUACACACAGGGCCCAGGUCUGAGGGUCAGGUGAAAGCCCAACUUUGUCUUAGCUUUACAAACCUACCUUCCGUGAUUCCUGUGAGCUGUCUGAAAUGGCCUCAUAGGAGAAAGGUCCUUCACUGGCUGUAACACUUGUCUUAUUGGCUGUAUGAACAGCCUUCCAGAGGAGCUGGCCUCACACAGGCUACAAGCAGCAGCCUUUACACAACCAUCUGAUAGGGCCUUUCAGGGCGGGUUUAGGCUACGUGAAACUGCCUUUCUCAAUGGCCUCACAUCCAGGCUUUACAAAUCGGGUCUCCCCAUGCGGUGGUCUGAUAAAAAGUUUUCCUGGGAGUUCCGGUUGUGGCUCAGUGGUAACAAACCCAACUAGUAUCCAUGAGGACACAGGUUCGAUCCCUGGCCUGGAUCAGUGGGUUAAGGAUCCAGCACUGCCGUGAGCUGUGGUAUAGGCUGCAGGCGAGGCUCGGAGCCCACGUUGCUAUGGCUGUGGCUGUGGUGUAGGCCAGCAGUUGUAGCUCCAAUGAGACCCCUAGCCUGGGAACUUCUAUAUGCCUCGAUUGCAGCCCUAAAAAAAAAAUAAAAAUAAAAAAGGUUUCUUGAUAAUUCUACCAAGCUGUUUUCUGGAAGAGGAUAUUAGCCUGAGUAGCCUUGUGGCCUGGCUUAACUGAUGUGCUUUUCAAGAGUUCCUCACUGAACUGCCUUUUAUAAAAGGUUGCAUGAAACAAACAAGCUUUCCAGAGUGGGACUGUGGGCUGGCCUUUAAACUGGCCUCCCAGAGCACCACAUAAAAGGGAAAAGCAGGUGGCAUAAACAGCCCUCUGGUGGUCAGAUAUAGGCAGAUUAAUUAUAGAAUUUAUCAUACAAACCAAAUGCUACACAUCGGCCCUUUACUUAGCUUGUAAAGCAUACAUUUAUUUUUCUUUUGUAAAAAAAAAAUUUUUUUUUGUCUUUUUGCCAUUUCUUGGGCCGCUCCCGUGGCAUAUGGAGGUUCCCAGGCUAGGGGUUGAAUUGGAGCUGUAGCCGCCAGCCUACACCACAGCCACAGCAACACGGGAUCUGAGCUGCGUCUGCGACCUACAUCACAGCUCACGGCAAUGCUGGAUCCUUAAUCCACUGAGCGAGGCCAGGGAUCAAACCUGCAACCUCAUGGUUUCUAGUCGGAUUUGUUAACCACUGCGCCACAAUGGGAACUCCUCUUUUGUAAAAAUUUUUUAUUCUCAUCAUUUUCCCCAAUGUUUUCCACUGGAACCUUGAUUUCUGCAUGUAGGAAUAUCAUCUUAAUGCAAGUUGAAUACUGGAAGUCCAUAUAGUUUUCAGGGCACUGUGUCUGUAAUAUUUACCAUUUAUAAUUGGGCAAGUCAUAAAUGGGAAUUAUUCCUGGCGAACUGAGACCCAUGGUCCCCCUAAUCACAGACCAUAAGAUAAAGCCUGAGUGGCCUUGUAUCCCCACUUUGAAGUUGGUUUUUUAGGGCUCGACAAGUGUUGGCCUUAAGAGACUUCUUGUUGGUUAUAGAAGGAUUUUUUCUUUUUUUCUUUUUUAAAUGGGGUGAGGGCAGAGGUGUCAGGUAUAGAAACGGCCUGACUGGUCUUGUGUCUGCG
ensembl:lncRNA